rnacentral:tRNA from 7 species
UGGAGCAGCCUGGUAGCUCGUCGGGCUCAUAACCCGAAGGUCGUCGGUUCAAAUCCGGCCCCCGCAACCA